rnacentral:lncRNA from 1 species
CGUGCCCGCAGGGCAGCGGGAACCUCUCCCGGGCCCCCGAGACUUUGGGGGACGUGGGUGACAGGUCGCUAUUCCCUUGCCCCAAGUCUACUUUUCCUGCUCGGGAGGUGCGGAGGGAGGGAAGGGGGACCCAAAUCGGGGCGUUUUCGGAUUUUGCUCACGUCUGAAUUCGGGCUCCGGCAGGACUGGGGUGGGGGAGGUUUGGCCUGGGUGCGACCGAGGAGUGGAGCGCUUGAACCCGAAGGGGGUACUUCUACAAGUUUUUUUUUUUUUUCCCCUUCUAAACACCCUUUUUAAAAAGCCAACGGCCGCCCCGGGAGAGGCCCCGGCGCAUGAAUCAUCCUCGCUUCCUGCCCCCGCCCGGCCCCGCGGUCCGGGUGCCGCGGAUUUGAACUGGACGCCGACGGGAACCCGCAAACAGGCAUUUCUUUGCAGAUGGGUUUGAAUCAGCCAAUCACAGCCCGCGGGGGCCAACUCCGGGAGGAUGGAGGCGGGGGUGGGGGUCCGCCACCCGAGGGCCCCGCCCGGCCAGGAGGGGAGCGCUGCAGCCGAGCCCGCUCGCAGCAGCGUGGCGGGGAGGAAGUGUCAGUUUGUGAACCUGCCGCGGCUUGGGCGGGCGGGACCUCGCAGCGCGGGAGGAGCCAGGUGGCAGGGGGAGGGCAGGGUUCGGACUACAUCCCCAAUCUAGUGCCUGUGCGCCGUGCCCUGAGAAAAGAGCAUAGCAGUGGAGAGGGGUGGAGUGGAGGCUGGGAGUGGGGGUCGGAGGGAGAACGUGGCCGUCUGGGGAGCCAAGCCCACAGCAGUGGUGCCCUGCCAGUCCCAGGGACCCUCACAGUCACCAUCACACCCUACACGCACACAAACUCAAAUUGGUUGCACACACAUGCAUUUAGUUUCAUAUUACACUGGUGCACUGCUGUCGACAAUGUUACACAUUCUCACACGGGUAUGCAAACACAAGGAAACACUCACACAGGAUUCCUUCCCUGUCGACAGAUAAUCCUUAGACCAGGUGUCCAGUGCCUGGGAGGGGGCCAGAAUAGCGGGUGCAGGAAACAGAGCAAGGCUGUGUUAAACAGCUGGAGUGGAGUGUGUGUCCAGGGGCAUCAAGCCAGUGUCAUUGGAAGCUGA